rnacentral:tRNA from 1 species
GGGGCCGUAGCUCAGUCGGUAGAGCGCAUCGUUCGCAAUGAUGAGGUCAGGGGUUCGAUUCCCCUCGGCUCCACCA